rnacentral:tRNA from 1 species
GGAGAGAUGGCAGAGCGGCUGAUUGCGCCGGUCUUGAAAACCGGUUACCCGCAAGGGUACGUGGGUUCGAAUCCCACUCUCUCCG